rnacentral:rRNA from 1 species
ACUCAAAUGAAUUGACGGGGACCCGCACAAGCGGUGGAGCAUGUGGUUUAAUUCGAUACUAACCGAAGAACCUUACCCAGGUUUGACAUUGAGAGAAAGCCCAAGAGAUUGGGUCCUCCCCCACAAGGGGACUCGAAAACAGAUGUUGCAUGGCUGUCGUCAGCUCGUGCCGUGAGGUGUACGGUUAAGUCCGCCAACGAGCGCAACCCUCGUCCUGUGUUACCAGCAUGAAAGAUGGGGACUCACAGGAGACCGCCGGUGUAAGCCGGAGGAAGGUGGGGAUGAUGUCAAGUCAGCAUGGCUCUUACGCCUGGGGCUACACACAUGCUACAAUGGACGCAACAGAGGGCAGCGAUGACGCGAGUCGGAGCCAAUCCCAAAAAUACGUCCUCAGUUCAGAUUGCAGUCUGCAACUCGACUGCAUGAAGGCGGAAUCGCUAGUAAACGCAGGUCAGCUAUACUGCGUUGAAUACGUUCCCGGGUCUUGUACACACCGCCCGU